CUGCGUGGUCUUCUUGGGCACUCCACUGUAUGAAGUGACUUUGUUUCUCUGUUUGCUUUUCAGAUGCUGGUCUCCCUUCUAGGAUGUCACUGCUCGGAACAAGUGGGGUCUGCUUUGCCCACAGGCUGGCCCAGGGCUCAGCUUAGAGCAGGUGCAGGCAGAUGACCUGGGACCAGGCUAGUCUGUGCCUGGGGACAUGCUUAGAACCGGCCGUGUCAUCAACUGCUCAGAAGGCCACAGGACCAGAGACGCCCAGGGUGGAGACGUCCGCCACCUAGUGAGGCCUGGGCAGUGUGCACCUGGCAGGACACUGGGGAUGGUCUGGACUUUCAUCUCUCUUAGCCACAUGUUCCAGGGUCACCUGCUUGUCCUGUGGCAGCAUUGUCCGCAGAACAUGGGGAAGUGUAUUUGA
rnacentral:lncRNA from 12 species